AUUGAACGCUGGCGGCAGGCCUAACACAUGCAAGUCGAACGAGUGGCGGACGGGUGAGUAAUGUCUGGGAAACUGCCUGAUGGAGGGGGAUAACUACUGGAAACGGUAGCUAAUACCGCAUACCAUUGGAUGUGCCCAGAUGGGAUUAGCUAGUAGGUGGGGUAAAGGCUCACCUAGGCGACGAUCCCUAGCUGGUCUGAGAGGGUGACCAGCCACACUGGAACUGAGACACGGCCCAGACUCCUACGGGAGGCAGCAGUAGGGAAUAUUGCGCAAUGGACGAAAGUCUGACGCAGCCAUGCCGCUUGAAUGAAGAAGGUCUUCGGAUUGUAAAGUUCUGUCGGCAGGGAAGCGUUACCUGCAGAAGAAGCACCGGCUAACUCCGUGCCAGCAGCCGCGGUAAUAC
rnacentral:rRNA from 1 species